GACGAACGCUGGCGGCGUGCUUAACACAUGCAAGUCGAGCGAGGCCCCUCCUUCGGGAGGGUGUCCUAGCGGCGAACGGGUGAGUAACACGUGGGCAACCCGCCCUCAGCUCUGGGAUAACUCCGGGAAACCGGGGCUAAUACCGGAUACGACCUCCACGGGCAUCUGCGGAGGUGGAAAGUUUUUCGGCUGAGGAUGGGCCCGCGGCCUAUCAGCUAGUUGGUGGGGUAGUGGCCCACCAAGGCGACGACGGGUAGCCGGCCUGAGAGGGCGACCGGCCACACUGGGACUGAGACACGGCCCAGACUCCUACGGGAGGCAGCAGUGGGGAAUAUUGCGCAAUGGGCGAAAGCCUGACGCAGCGACGCCGCGUGAGGGACGAAGGCCUUCGGGUUGUAAACCUCUUUCAGCAGGGACGAAGCGAAAGUGACGGUACCUGCAGAAGAAGCACCGGCCAACUACGUG
rnacentral:rRNA from 1 species